UCUAUUUCAGAUUUGCUCGCAUGACUUAAGAAACUUCAAAACUGUGUACCCUGCUUGCACAGCUCCGAAUUGGUAUGCAGAGGUGGCUAUUGCUACUGUGGUUGCCUUAUUACAGAAGUCGGCAAUGGCCACCCUCCCGGGGUGUGCCUGUGAAGACCGGAAAGGUAAAAGCAAGAAGACAGGAGAGGCCACCUUCACACACCCUUUCAAAUUGAUUAACCUUUAUGGCACGACAGCAUUGGACAAUAUUUUAAAAGUUCAAAAGAAGUUUUCUUCCUAAACAUUUACUUAGCUUUUGGCCUUGAGUUGAAGAGAAUCAAAGAUAUACACCAUUCCUAGAACCUAGAUACAAGAUCCAGGGGUUUUUUCCAAACCAGCAACUCUUGCAGAAUAUUCAUGAAACUCUACGGUGUGCGGCCAAGAAGACACCUGAACUCAAGCUGCAGAUCUGAUACGACUUCCCAAUGCGAUGGUGGGUGUAUGACGUGUGAGCCCUAAGUCCUGAAAGCUACACUCUUUAGAACAUGCUUCACACAUUGUAUUGGACCUGCCUUCUGAAUACUUUCUCUCCACGACUGUGGGUCCUGCUUAUAAAGCCUGUGCUGUCUUCAUCAAAGAACCUCCAGCAUCUAGCAUGACGCCUGGUGCAUAGCUACGUCACCGGCAUGACAGACGAGACACAAGUCCCAGGAGGGCAGGGCGUCUGUAGGGUUUGCUCACUGCUCUGUCCCAGUGCCUGGCACGUAGAGGUGCUCAGCAAGUAUUUGCUGAGUGAGCAUCAGGCCGUUGAGGAGUGGAAAGUCAAGUUCUCACCACCCAGAGGCGUGCCCCAGGAUUUCUCAGAUUGUUUCACUUGCACAGACUGAGGUAGCUUUAGCAGGAGGGAGGAUGGGAAGGGUGAGAGGCAGUGGCUGUGAAAGGCAGGGAGGGUGAGGCAUCUUCAACCUUGACCGUCACUCUUACCCUGAUACAGACGGGGCUCCAGCAGCCCAGCCACCUACUCUCCUGCCGACCACUGAGAUCUGAGAGUCAGGAAGCCAAGCUGCCUUUCUACAGAGUGAUGCUGCUUCAGAAGAUGACCGGAGCGUCCUUGUCGGCAGCCCCUCUGUCUCACACAUUGCAACUGCUUCCCACGCAGUCCUGCCCUGAUGCUCCCAGCCUUGCCCUUAAGUGACCCUGAAAGCUGCCUUUUUCCAGAUGAGGAGACGCAGCACAUUUUUGCCAUUGGCAGGCUCCCUCGGGCCAGGAUUCCUAAAUAGAUUUAAAUCGAACAACUUAUCUCUUGGAAACUGAUUAGCACCCUGAUGUUUGCUCAGCUGCCUAUGUUGAAAUCUACUCUUAUCCAUCAACUAGCAGAUAUGGAAUACCUCCUGGGAGUCUGGGACCCUGCUAGGUCCAGAGAAACAUGAAGUAGUCCACACCAGGAAGCAGUUUCCUCCUUGCCUGGGGAGGCCCGAGAAAGUAGAGGACAGCAGCUAGGUGCUUCAUCAUGUGACAUGUGACAUGGGUGCCAAGGUCGCAGCAGUUGAGGGACUGGAGGGUGACUGGGGAUGGCAGUAGGUGGGGGCUGUGAGGCUGAGACUCAAGCAGAUGGAGCACAGAAGUGGGGAAACACAGUCGUGAGGGUGGCUGGGAGCACAGGCAUGGGGGCAUGAUGUCUCAGGACACCUCAAGGAGGCCUGCCUGGAUAGAGCGCGUGUGCCAGGACACCUGGUCGACAGGGCUGACUAGCUGGGGCAGGGCCAGCCGCCAGGGGCCAUGGAAGGCCGUGACGUAUGAAGAAUUACACGGGUGAUUCUGAGAGGUCAACUUGCUCAGCAGGCAGAAUGGGAAACAGACCAGAGGCUGCAGGGACACCAACCAGAGAGGAGUGUGGCUGGCACGAGGUAGUGCAGGCUGGUCUGGGGUAGAUGGGGUGGGAAAGAAAGGAUAAGGCGAGGUAAGAACGGCAGGAUGUGGCGACAGAGUGGGUGCACUGGACGACAGAAAGAGAGGCUUUGGGCCCCAUGAGGUAAGAGGGGUCAAAAGUUUAGGGCAAAAUUCAAUGACACAAAAUUAGCAAGAGAGCUGUUUAAUUUCUUUUUAAAAAAAAUUGCAUCAUCUUUUUAAAUUAUGGUAAAAUACACAUAACAUGAAAUUUACCAUUUUAGACAUUUUUAAGUGUACAGUUCAGUGGCAUUAAGUACUUUCAUGAUGUUGCAUAACCAUCACCAGCACCCAUCUCCGGGACUCUUUCAUCUUCGUAAACUGAAGCUCUGUCCCCAUUAAACUAACUCCCCAUCCCAUCCCCAUCGCCCCUGGCAACCCCCAUUCUGCUUUCUGUCUCCAGGAAUCUGAUUCCUCUAGGGACCUCUUAUAAGUGGAAUCUUACAGUAUUUGUCCAUUUGUGACAGGCUUACUUCACUCAGUGCAACGUCCUAAAGGUUCAUCCAUGAUGUAGCAGGUGUCAGAAUUCCCUCCCUUUUUAAGACUGAACAGUAGCCCAUUGUAUGCAUAUACACAUUUUGUUUACCCAUCAUCUGUUGAUGGACACUUGGGUUGCUUCCACCUUCUGACUAUUGCGAAUAAUGCUGAUACGUAUAUGUGUGUACAAAUAUCUGUUCGAGUUCCUGCUUUCAAUUUAUCUUUCUCUUCUUGCAUUUUAUGAUAAGCAAAUCAAGUCAUUUCUUCAACAUUUUGCUUAUAAAUCUCUUCAGGUAAAUAUCCAGUUUUAUUGCUUGAAAGUUUUACCUUCCGCGAAACACUGGAACACAGAUCAUCCAAGUUCUUUGCCUUUUUAUACUAAGGAUCGCCUUUCCUCCAGUUUCCAAUAAGAUGUUCCUCAUUUCUGUGCGAGACUUUAUAAGAAAGGCCUUUAACAUCCAUAUUUCUGCCAGCAUUCUGUUCAUGACGAUAAAGGUAUUUUCUAAGAUGACAGAGGCUCUCUCUAGCUCUUCUCUUUCCUCCUGAGUCCUCACCAGAAUCGCCUUUAACAACCACGUAUCUCCCUAUAGUCACUUUAAGGCAAUCCAGGAUUUUUCUGGCAUGCAUCUUAAAACUUCCACCUCUACCCAUCACCCAGCUCCAACACCACUUCCACAUAUUUAGAUCUUCAUUACAGCAGCACCUUGCUUCUCAGCACCCAAAUCUGUAUUAGUCUGCCUGCAGACUAUGUGGCUUGAACAAUCGGAAUUUAUCUUCUCACAGUUCUGGAGGCUCGAUGUCCAAGAUGAAGACGCCAGCAAAUUCAGUUCCUGGCAAGAGCUCUCUUCCUGGCUUGCAGGCAACCACCUUCUUGCCAUGUCCUCACAUGGCCUCUGCUCUGUGCAUACGCGGAGAGAGAGAGAUCUCUUCUUAGAAAGACACCAGUUCUAUCAGACUAGGGUCCCACCCUUAUGACCUCAUCUAACCUUAAUUACCUUCUUAAAGGCCCUCUCUCCAAACACAGUCACACUGGGGUUUAGGGCUUCUACAUAUGAAAUUUGUUCCACAGCUCAGUCCAUAACAGCAUACAUCUCAUGGCCUUGUUUAGCUGGCUGUGACAUCAUGAAAUGAGUGCUGGACCUCAGUCAGGUCAAUUUCUCCCCUCAUCCAAGCCCGUCCUCCUUGGAAAGCCAUUUAACCACAAUGGGUCUCAGAAACGUCAUGGGGGAAAACGUGACCUUUUCUCAGAGUUGCACGAAAGGUUAAAUCCAAUCAUGAACGUGGAGACAUUUUAGUACCCCAAGGAAUUCCUAGUCACAGCCUUUGAGGUCCCCGCAAUGGUCUAACAGUCAAAUGACCAAAGCCUGUCUCUAUCCUCAUCGCUGGGCACACUCUUCACACUGACCUCUUGCCUGCUAGUAAGUGCGGGAGGAGAGCAUCCUCUUUUUAGGCACUGUUUGGGAAGAGAGAUGGAGGAUGGCAAACACUUUGUCUCAAAGGAGUCUCAGCUGUGUUCGGUCUCAGCAGGACCUGAGUGGGUGGUGGUGUCUGCCGUGGGUGUGGGGAGUGGGGCCAGACGUAGCCCAGACCAGCUGCGGCUCUGGUGGUCAAUCACUAGGCUCCUGUUUUUCAAUUUUCUAGGCUCUCAGUAACCCUCUUAUCACUCUCCAGUGCAGGAUUUGUUUUUCAAGGAUAUGGAAUCCUAAUGCCAGAAGGCGGUCCUAGAAGACAGGCCAGGGAAGUCCCUGGAACAUGAAGAGUGGAGCAGCAAAGAGUGUCCCCAGCCAGAGAGCCACGGUGGGGAGGUCAGUGCCGCGGUCGUUUCAGCAUCUGUGAGGGAGACCCACGCUGCCUGCAAAUCAUGUCCAGGGUGUGGUGGAAAUGCACAUCAACCUGGGUGGUCCUGCUGUCUAUUCCAGGAUAAAAUCCAAGCCUGCUGGAGGGUCAGGACAUAGCGGUGAAUUUAUGUGCCCAGCACCUAGUCUCUCACAUACAAGAUGCUGAAUGAAUGGAUGCCCAGAACGAGAGAUGGAACCAUUCACUAAUCCAUUAAACGAACAAUUGACAGCCACUAUGGGCCAGAUGCUGGACUAGAAUGGUAGGGAUACGGGGGUGAACAGGACAUGCUUCUGCCUCAAGGAAUCUGCUGUUUAGAGAAGAACACGCAGGCACACAGGAUGCCGCGACGUGGUGUUGUGAAUGUUGUGGCGAUGGUACAUGCACGGGGGGGGGCACCAAGAUGGCCACUGUGUCUGUCAGGAAGUUGAAAGUAUACAGCCUUUGCUGACUAAUAUCGUCACAGCCGUGGGAAAGCUGCUUCGUGUGGAGUGGAGGAAAAGGUCACUGGAGUGGAGAAAGUCAAGGAACUGAGAAGUAGACUGUCAGCUGGGCCAGCCAUAUAGACAUCGAAGUCACCAGAGUCGCGGUAGGACGUAGUAUAACGAAGACAAUGAGCAGUUGCCGAAGCCUCUAGAGCACAAGCGAGGGAGACUGAUCAGGAGGGUUAGGCGACAGCACAUCAGAGGGACAGGGUGUAGACUAGCCAGCCUGUGUGAGUCUCAAAGCUGUACAAGUGACAAGGAAGGGACAACUCCUCGUGCUGACCCUGAGGCUUGAGGAGAAUGAAGAGCAGCCAUAGGUGAGGGCUGCUGGGAAAGGGAUCCCUGACAUCCUCAGGAGAGGCCAACUCUGCCAAACACGUACAGGUGGGGAGUGCGCAGUGGGAGGCUCGAGGAUAGGGGUGUCCGUAGGUGAUGGGCCAGGAACUGCAAGAGAGGAAGGAAGGCUGGAUCAGGGCAGGAAGCUUCCAGCUCUCUGGAGGGGAAAAUAUUUUCAUAUCAAAGAUUUGUGAUGUGGUUGAACCAAGAGAAGGACAUAAUGUUAUAAAAAUAUACAUUGCUAAACACAAGUCAUAAUCAAUUUAUAGUGAUAAUUCCUAUCUACCAUGUUCAAGUAAUCUGUGUAACAUAUUCAUGCCCCACAUUUUAAUCUUGCUAACCCUAAGGAUAAGAAGAUAAGAGAUGAUAGAUGAGAAAGAG
ensembl:lncRNA